UACGUAGGGUGCAGGCGUUAAUCGGAAUUACUGGGCGUAAAGCGUGCGCAGGCGGUUUGCUAAGACAGGUGUGAAAUCCCCGGGCUUAACCUGGGAACUGCAUUUGUGACUGCAUGGCUGGAGUGCGGCAGAGGGGAUGGAAUUCCGGCGUGUAGCAGUGAAAUGCGUAGAUAUGCGGAGGAACACCGAUGGCGAAGGCAGUCCCCUGGGCCUGCACUGACGCUCAUGCACGAAAGCGUGGGGAGCAAACAGG
rnacentral:rRNA from 1 species